rnacentral:rRNA from 1 species
GGGCUCACACAAGCGGAGGAGGAUGUGGCUUAAUUCGAGGCUACGCGAAGAACCUUAUCCUAGGCUUGACAUGCGGGAUACCGUCCUUGAAAGAGGAGCCGGUUGCCUUCGGGUGAAACCAGCACAGGUGCUGCAUGGCUGUCGUCAGCUCGUGUCGUGAGAUGUCGGGUUAAGUCCCUUAACGAGCGAAACCCCUGCCACUAGUUGCCAAUUAUGGGACUCUAGUGGGACUGCCGAUGUUAAAGAGGAGGAAGGUGGGGAUGACGUCAAGUCCUCAUGGCCCUUAUGCCUAGGGCUGCACACGUCCUACAAUGAUACACACAAAGGGAAGCAACCUCGUAAGAGCAAGCAAAACCCAAAAAAUGUAAUCCCAGUUCGGAUUGCGGUCUGAAAUUCGACCGCAUGAAGUCGGAUUCGCUAGUAAUCGCGGGUCAGAAUACCG